rnacentral:rRNA from 1 species
CGCUGGCGGCGUCGCUAAUACAUGCAAGUAGAACGCUGAGGAUUGGUGCUUGCACUAAUCCAAAGAGUUGCGAACGGGUGAGUAACGCGUAGGUAACCUACCUCAUAGCGGGGGAUAACUAUUGGAAACGAUAGCUAAUACCGCAUGAYACUAGAGUACACAUGUACUUAAGUUAAAAGGAGCAAAUGCUUCACUAUGAGAUGGACCUGCGUUGUAUUAGCUAGUUGGUGAGGUAACGGCUCACCAAGGCGACGAUACAUAGCCGACCUGAGAGGGUGAUCGGCCACACUGGGACUGAGACACGGCCCAGACUCCUACGGGAGGCAGCAGUAGGGAAUCUUCGGCAAUGGACGGAAGUCUGACCGAGCAACGCCGCGUGAGUGAAGAAGGUUUUCGGAUCGUAAAGCUCUGUUGUUAGAGAAGAACGGUAAUGGGAGUGGAAAAUCCAUUACGUGACGGUAACUAACCAGAAAAG